rnacentral:rRNA from 1 species
UGGGGAAUAUUGCACAAUGGGCGCAAGCCUGAUGCAGCCAUGCCGCGUGUGUGAAGAAGGCCUUCGGGUUGUAAAGCACUUUCAGCGAGGAGGAAGGUGGUGAAGCUUAAUACGUCAUCAAUUGACGUUACUCGCAGAAGAAGCACCGGCUAACUCCGUGCCAGCAGCCGCGGUAAUACGGAGGGUGCAAGCGUUAAUCGGAAUUACUGGGCGUAAAGCGCACGCAGGCGGUUUGUUAAGUCAGAUGUGAAAUCCCCGGGCUCAACCUGGGAACUGCAUUUGAAACUGGCAAGCUAGAGUCUCGUAGAGGGGGGUAGGAAUUCCAGGUGUAGCGGUGAAAUGCGUAGAGAUCUGGAGGAAUACCGGUGGCGAAGGCGGCCCCCUGGACGAAGACUGACGCUCAGGUGCGAAAGCGUGGGGCAGCAAACAGGAUUAGAUACCCUGGU